rnacentral:lncRNA from 1 species
GUUGGCGGUAGUGCGGGUUGGAGGCAUCUGCUGGCGGCGAGGAAAAGAACAGAAGCAGAGAAGAAUGUUCACCUCUUUAUCAGACUGAAGUUUCUAUCAUCUUUUAGAAACGGGGGCUCAGAAGCACAGUGACAUCCGGCCAAAAAUAUUCAAAUGGGUCCUCCUUAAAAUUGUUGCUCCCCACUCCACGCCUCCACCCCCCCCUCCCCAUUUUCUCUUUUUUAAUUCUGUAGCAGUCAUUACCCAGGGACCGGAUACAGAGAUCUCUAUGGGGAGUUCUAAUGGGCCGAUUCAGUUUCAACUGGAUGACGCCACUUAGCCAAGCAUUAAGAGCUCCAGCUCCGGGAAGGCAAACGACACAGAGAGAGGGAGAGGGAGAGGGAGAGAGAGAGAGAGAGAGAGAGAGAGAGAGAGAGAAAGAAAUUAUAACAAGGAGCAAUAAAUCCCUCCCCUCCCAUCCUCCCCUAUAACCCAUUCACAAGACCUCCAGAAAUCAUCUACAUUCACAAAACAGCGAGCCUGCUCAACUGAAUACACAGCAACCAUAUCCACUCUUCUCUCUCUCUCUCUCUCCCUCUCUCCCUCUCCCUCCCUUUCCAUCCUUUUAGAUUAUAUCCACACAUACUGAGUCUAGAGUUAUAGAAUGAGACACAGGCAGCAUCUAUUGCUGCGCUGAGAUUUACUGAAUCCUACAACUGCAGUUCCUGCUUCUGUUCAUCUGUCAGAUCGGAGAAGGAGGAGGAGGAGGAGGAGGAAAAGGAGGAGGAGGAGGAGAAAAAACAGGACUUGCAUUGCCUGGGUUUCUUUGGGGAAUAUGUGCAUCUUGAUUUAUAUCUGUAUGUAAAACCUAUACAGAGUAUCUGCCAGUACGUUUCUUGCCUUUUUUUUUUUUUCAUUUUCUCUGCUGUGUCAGAGAGAACGAGACAGAACUGUCUCUAUCUGGUUCCCCAGCCCGAGGAGGAGUGUUCAUUCAGACUUUCUGAAAAGAGCUGGAGAGACAGAGAGGGAGAAUCAAGGAAAGAAGAGGUUCCUGAAUCCGGCUGGGAGAUUAGUUCCACGGCUCUCAGCAACAUGGAUCUCCACGCUCAUCGAGGUUUUUCCGACGUGCCCUGAUGCCAGAGUGACGGCCGGCCCGCUCUCUCUCCGUGCCCACCGCAAGCGUCCACCCGACCGCCCUCCCCGCCGCCCCUCCAGACCCCCUAAG